UGAUAUGGAAUUUGUAGACAAGAUUCACAUACAAAACUGUAUGAAUUGCACACGGUUGUUUUUUAGCCCAAGUUGUCCGGAAAGUCUUGGCUAUUUCAUGAGUAUGUGAUAGUUGCAUUUGGUAAACACAUGGCUACAUUUACUAAACCUGAAAUUGCACCGAUAUGUGAACUUGAUAUCUAUUAAUUCUAUUAGCAUUUUUGGAUACUUGACUUUUUUAAAUUGUGAUUGCAUUUGGACAGAAAUUGAUUUAAAACUGCAUAGUUCUUUCAAAUUGCAUAAUUCUGUUCAUGUUAUUUUUGUUCAAGUAAAAAAUGACUAUUAUCCUAUUUGACUAUUUAAUUAUCUUUCCUUAUAUGUUCAUUUCUUAUAACAUGAAUUUUUAUGUUCUUUGAUUUGACUAUCUAAUUAUCGGUUCAAAUUAGUCAUUAGAUGUGUUUGAGUUGACCUUCCAUUGAUAAUUUUUAAUGUUUAAUUUUAGUUGAUUUUACUCUCAACACUUUGAAAAUCCUAUUAAC
rnacentral:lncRNA from 1 species